AUUGAACGCUGGCGGCAGGCCUAACACAUGCAAGUCGAGCGGAUGAAGGGAGCUUGCUCCUGGAUUCAGCGGCGGACGGGUGAGUAAUGCCUAGGAAUCUGCCUGGUAGUGGGGGAUAACGUCCGGAAACGGGCGCUAAUACCGCAUACGUCCUGUGGGAGAAAGUGGGGGAUCUUCGGACCUCACGCUAUCAGAUGAGUCUAGGUCGGAUUAGCUAGUUGGUGGGGUAAAGGCCUACCAAGGCGACGAUCCGUAACUGGUCUGAGAGGAUGAUCAGUCACACUGGAACUGAGACACGGUCCAGACUCCUACGGGAGGCAGCAGUGGGGAAUAUUGGACAAUGGGCGGAAGCCUGAUCCAGCCAUGCCGCGUGUGUGAAGAAGGUCUUCGGAUUGUAAAGCACUUUAAGUUGGGAGGAAGGGCAGUAAGUUAAUACCUGGCUGUUUUGAGGUUACCAACAGAAUAAGCACCGGCUAACUUCGUG
rnacentral:rRNA from 1 species